GAAAAAAAGAGAUAAAAAUUCUCCUAGAAGAUCAAAAUCCAAAGGAAAAAAUGGUGAUUCGUUAAGUGGCAGCAGUGCGUCCUCAGAUGGGAGUAGUGUAUUUGCUAAUUAUGAAACCAUGUCAAUUGCUGGAGCUCUUGUCUGGCGGGAAAAGGAAACACUUCAUGAUUGGUCGGCGCUUGCAGUUCUUCGUAAUAGGAUUGGCCGAGGUAGUGAUGACGAUUGCAAUGCUGCCAAUUAGCUAGAUGUGGAC